UCUACAACUUCAUCAUGUCUGUCAUAGUAGCUACAGGGAACAAAUAUCUGAGCAAGGUGUGGGGGGGGAGGGGAGGAGAGAAGAAACUGGCUGAAGAUCUGUCUAAAAAAGAAAGAGGCUGUAAUUAGAGUUGGUCAGAAUUUUUCAGACAAAAACUAGUGACAAAUUUUUGCCACAAUUUGCAAAUGAAACUAAUCAUUAUUUAACACAUUCCAGUAGUGACGGUCAGUCAGUAUCAGCCUGCCACAUGCCAAGGACAGUCGAGACACUAUCACAAUAAUCUCAGGGGCACCCGCACAUCUGACCAGCUGGACCAGUAAAAUGACCUCAGUGUACUCAACCUGAAGUGCUGCAGAAGUGGAAUGAGAAGCUGAUAAGAGACAGUAGCUGGUCCCUUAGUACAUUAUAAUGACCACUGAUUUCAGAACUGACUGGAGAGGAGGCGGGUAAUGGACUCGGCCUCUCACAAGUAUCCCUGUGUGUGCAAAGAGCCCCUGUGGCUUUCAGCUGAAUGCUGUGGAACUCUACCCCAUCUGAGGCCAGACAAAAAUAACCACUGCAAACCCAAGCUCCCUUCCCUGUCGCUUUUCUGAAUUCCCGAUAACCGCAAGCACUGGUGGUCAUAUUUUAUAAUUCCUACAUUUAGGGUUAACAUGGAUUGUGACCUCACAACAGCACAUUUCAGCACCCACAGGCAAGUUACUGAAAGACGUUGGAUUCACCAAUAUUCCAGUGAGGCUGGGAGCAGUGGCAGGAAGCGAUGGGGAGGAUGGUUGGAGCAAGCAGCCAGCAGGCAGCUGAUGGGAGUGGCCAGCAGUAGCAGUGGUGAGCAGCAGGCAGGCAACCAGCAAAGCGGUGCCAGAGAGCAGCAAGUAGGUGGAUGGCGAGGGACCUGCGGAGUGGGUGAGAUGCCUCCUAUCCCUUCCUCCAGGGAUCACCUCUGAAGUCUGGUCUUUCCUGACCAAGGGCAGCAACUGUGAGUGGGGUUCAGAGAAGAGUUGGGCAUACGAAUAGGACACUUGAAUAGCUGGACUUGUGAGCCUAAGAGGCAAAGGACAUGGUCAAACCUACUUGAGCUGGAACGUUUACUUGUGGUUUGGUUGUGAACUCUGUUUGUGAUGUUUUCCCAAAUUAAUGCCACGUAACUUCUCUCCCUCUUUCAUUAAA